UGGGGAAUUUUCCGCAAUGGGCGCAAGCCUGACGGAGCAAUACCGCGUGAGGGAGGAAGGCUUUUGGGUUGUAAACCUCUUUUCUCAAGGAAGAAGUCCUGACGGUACUUGAGGAAUCAGCAUCGGCUAACUACGUGCCAGCAGCCGCGGUAAUACGUAGGGGGCGAGCGUUGUCCGGAAUUAUUGGGCGUAAAGAGCGUGUAGGCGGCCUGGUAAGUCUGCCGUGAAAACCUGGGGCUCAACCCUGGGCGUGCGGUGGAUACUGCUAGGCUAGAGGAUGGUAGAGGCGAGUGGAAUUCCCGGUGUAGCGGUGAAAUGCGCAGAUAUCGGGAGGAACACCAGUAGCGAAGGCGGCUCGCUGGGCCAUUCCUGACGCUGAGACGCGAAAGCGUGGGGAGCAAACAGGAUUAGAUACCCGGGUAGUCC
rnacentral:rRNA from 1 species